rnacentral:rRNA from 1 species
UACGGAGGGGGCAAGCGUUGUUCGGAAUUACUGGGCGUAAAGGGCUCGUAGGCGGCCAACUAAGUCGGAUGUGAAAUCCCCAGGCUUAACCUGGGAACUGCAUCCGAUACUGGAUGGCUUGAAUCCGGGAGAGGGAUGCAGAAUUCCAGGUGUAGCGGUGAAAUGCGUAGAUAUCUGGAGGAACACCGGUGGCGAAGGCGGCAUCCUGGACCGGCAUUGACGCUGAGGAGCGAAAGCCAGGGGAGCAAACGGG